GUAAAUAUAGUUUAAUAAAAACAUUAGAUUGUGAUUCUAAAAAUAGGAGUUAAACCCUCCCUGUUCACC
rnacentral:tRNA from 1 species